AAGGGAGACCUAAUUCAGGUAUGGGACGAAAAAAAAGUAGUCGCUACCAAGAAUCAAUCCCAAAAGGUCGGAGCGAGGCGAAAUUGGCUUUCAAACUAGGUUCUGGGUUCACACAAGACCUGAAUCAGGAACAAGGGCUAUUAGCUCAGGUGGUUAGAGCGCACCCCUGAUAAGGGUGAGGUCCCUGGUUCGAGUCCAGGAUGGCCCACCUGCACAGGUGGCAAAAACAAGAGAAGCUCCGAAUCAGCACCUUAUCUUACUUAUAUAGUAAGAGAGAAUGCUGGCUCUGAGUUCAGAGUCCAGAGGAACCUUGAAAACUGCAUAGAGCUAGGUGAAAAAGCCAAAAAAGAAGACCGCAA
rnacentral:tRNA from 2 species